rnacentral:rRNA from 1 species
ACGAACGCUGGCGGCACGCUUAACACAUGCAAGUCGAACGAGAGAAGAGAAGCUUGCUUUUCUGAUCUAGUGGCGGACGGGUGAGUAACACGUGAGCAAUCUGCCUUUCAGAGGGGGAUACCGAUUGGAAACGAUCGUUAAUACCGCAUAACAUAAUUGAACCGCAUGAUUUGAUUAUCAAAGAUUUAUCGCUGAAAGAUGAGCUCGCGUCUGAUUAGCUAGUUGGUAAGGUAACGGCUUACCAAGGCGACGAUCAGUAGCCGGACUGAGAGGUUGAUCGGCCACAUUGGGACUGAGACACGGCCCAGACUCCUACGGGAGGCAGCAGUGGGGAAUAUUGCACAAUGGAGGAAACUCUGAUGCAGCGAUGCCGCGUGAGGGAAGAAGGUUUUAGGAUUGUAAACCUCUGUCUUCAGGGACGAAAAAAGACGGUACCUGAGGAGGAAGCUCCGGCUAACUACGUGCCAGCAGCCGCGGUAAUACGUAGGGAGCGAGCGUUGUCCGGAAUUACUGGGUGUAAAGGGAGCGUAGGCGGGAUCGCAAGUCAGAUGUGAAAACUAUGGGCUUAACCCAUAAACUGCAUUUGAAACUGUGGUUCUUGAGUGAAGUAGAGGUAAGCGGAAUUCCUAGUGUAGCGGUGAAAUGCGUAGAUAUUAGGAGGGACAUCAGUGGCGAAGGCGGCUUACUGGGCUUUAACUGACGCUGAGGCUCGAAAGCGUGGGGAGCAAACAGGAUUAGAUACCCUGGUAGUCCACGCCGUAAACGAUGAUUACUAGGUGUGGGGGGACUGACCCCUUCCGUGCCGCAGCAAACGCAAUAAGUAAUCCACCUGGGGAGUACGACCGCAAGGUUGAAACUCAAAGGAAUUGACGGGGGCCCGCACAAGCAGUGGAGUAUGUGGAUUAAUUCGAAGCAACGCGAAGAACCUUACCAGGUCUUGACAUCGUAUGCAUAGCUCAGAGAUGAGUGAAAUCUCUUCGGAGACAUAUAGACAGGUGGUGCAUGGUUGUCGUCAGCUCGUGUCGUGAGAUGUUGGGUUAAGUCCCGCAACGAGCGCAACCCUUACUGUUAGUUGCUACGCAAGAGCACUCUAGCAGGACUGCCGUUGACAAAACGGAGGAAGGUGGGGAUGACGUCAAAUCAUCAUGCCCCUUAUGACCUGGGCCUCACACGUACUACAAUGGCUGUCAACAGAGGGAAGCAAAGCCGCGAGGUGGAGCAAACCCCUAAAAGCAGUCUUAGUUCGGAUUGUAGGCUGCAACCCGCCUACAUGAAGUCGGAAUUGCUAGUAAUCGCAGAUCAGCAUGCUGCGGUGAAUACGUUCCCGGGCCUUGUACACACCGCCCGUCACGCCAUGGGAGUCGGUAACACCCGAAGCCUGUAGUCUAACCGCAAGGAGGACGCAGUCGAAGGUGGGAUUGAUGACUGGGGUG